rnacentral:lncRNA from 1 species
AUGGCUCUGGGCAGACAUCUCUUCCUGGGGGGACUCUGUGUCCUCCUCCUCAGCACCAUGGUGGGUGGUCAAGCUCUGGAGCUGAGGCUGAAGGAUGGAGCCCACCGCUGUGAGGGGAGAGUGGAAGCGAAGUACAAAGGGGAAUGGGGCACAGUGUAUGCUGAGUACUGGCUCCUAGCAGGUGUAGAAGAGGUGUGCAGACAACUGGAAUGUGGAGUUGCCAUUGAUGCUCCCAGAGGGUCUUAUUUUGGACCAAGACUUGGCCCCAUUUGGUUUUUAUAUAUUUCCUGCGAGAGUAGAGAGGAUGAAUCAACUUUGACUCUCUAUGAGUGUGUUCAUGUUCAUUUUAAAAACUAUAAUGACACCUUCUCUCAUGACCAGGAUAUUGGAGCAGUCUGCUCAGGAUCUGUGCGUCUGUUUGGAGGGGAUAGACCCUGCUCAGGGCAUGUAGAAGUACAUUCUGGAAAAGAAUGGAUCCCAGUGUCUGAUGGGAAUUUCACACUCCCCACUGCCCAGGUCAUCUGUGCAGAGCUGGGAUGCGGCAAGGCUGUGUCUGUCCUGAAACACAUGCCCUUCAGAGAGUCUGAUGGCCAGGUCUGGGCUGAAGAGUUCAGGUGUGAAGGGGAGGAGCCUGAGCUCUGGGUCUGCCCCAGAGUGCCCUGUCCAGGGGGCAUGUGUCACCACAGUGGAGCUGUUCAGGUUGCCUGUUCAGCAGCGUACUCGGAAUUGCGGCUCAUGACAAACGGCUCCUCUCAGUGUGAGGGGCAGGUGGAGAUGAACAUUUCUGGACGAUGGAGAGCGCUGUGUGCCUCCCACUGGACUCUGGCCAAUGCCAAUGUUGUCUGUCGACAGCUUGGCUGUGGAGUUGCCAUCUCCACCCCCAGAGGACCACACUUGGUGGGCAGAGAUGACCAGAUCUCAGCAGUCCGAUUUCACUGUUUGGGGACUGAGUCUUUCCUGUGGAGUUGCCCUGUGACUGCCCUGGGUGGUUCUGACUGUUCCCAUGGCAACAUGGCCUCUGUGACCUGCUCAGACAGCAGACGGCUCCGCCUGGUGGACGGGGGCGGUCACUGCGCCGGGAGAGUGGAGAUUCUUGACCAGGGCUCCUGGGGCACCAUCUGUGAUGACGGCUGGGACCUGGAAGAUGCCCACGUGGUGUGCAGGCAGCUGGGCUGUGGAGAAGCCCUCAAUGCCACGAGGUCUGCUCACUUCGGGGCAGGAUCAGGGCCCAUCUGGCUGGAUGACCUAAACUGCACAGGAAAGGAGUCCCACGUGUGGAGGUGCCCUUCCCGGGGCUGGGGGCGGCACGACUGCAGACACAAGCAGGACGCGGGGGUCAUCUGCUCAGAGUUCCUGGCCCUCAGGAUGGUGAGUGAGGACCAGCAGUGUGCUGGGUGGCUGGAAGUUUUCUACAACGGGACCUGGGGCAGUGUCUGCCGCAACCCCAUGGAAUAUAUCACCGUGUCCCUGAUCUGCAGACAGCUUGGCUGUGGGGACAGUGGAAGUCUCAACCCUUCUGUUGCUCUUAGAGAAGGUUCUAGACCCCAGUGGGUGGAUGGAAUCCGCUGUCGGAAAACAGACACCUCUCUCUGGCAGUGUCCUUCUGACCCUUGGAAUUACACUUCCUGCUCUCCCAAGGAGGAAGCCUAUAUCUCGUGUGAAGACAGCAGACAGCUCCGCCUGGUGGAUGGAGGAGGUCCCUGCGCCGGGAGAGUGGAGAUCCUUGACCAGGGCUCCUGGGGCACCAUCUGUGAUAACGGCUGGGACUUGGAUGAUGCCCGCGUGGUGUGCAGGCAGCUGGGCUGUGGAGACGCCCUCAAUGCCACGGGGUCUGCUCACUUUGGGUCAGGAUCAGGGCCUAUCUGGCUGGACACACUGGACUGCAGAGGAAAGGAAUCCCACGUGUGGAAGUGCCCUUCCCGGGGCUGGGGAGCGCACAACUGCAGUCAUAACGAUGCCGGAGUCAUCUGCUCAGGAUUUGUGCGUCUGGUUGGAGACAACGGACCCUGCUCAGGACGGGUAGAAGUACGUCCUGGAGAAGAAUGGACCCCAGUGUCUGACGGGAACUUCACACUCCCCACUGCCCAGGUCAUCUGUGCAGAGCUGGGGUGCGGCAAGGCUGUGUCUGUUCUGGGACACGAGCUCUUCAGAGAGUCUGAUGGCCGGGUCUGGGCUGAAGAGUUCAGGUGUGAGGGGGAGGAACGUAAGCUCUGGUGGUGCCCCAGAGUGCCCUGUCCAGGGGGCACUUGUCACCACAGUGGAGCUGCUCAGGUUAUUUGUUCAGUGUACUCAGAAGUCCGACUCAUGACGAAUGGCUCCUCUCAGUGUGAAGGGCAGGUGGAGAUAAACAUUUCUGGACGAUGGAGAGCGCUCUGUGCCUCCCACUGGAGUCUGGCCAAUGCCAAUGUCGUCUGUCGUCAGCUCAGCUGUGGAGUCGCCAUCUCUACCCCCAGAGGACCAUACUUGGUGGAGAGAGGUGACCAGAUAUCAACAGUCCGAUUUCACUGCUCGGGGGCAGAGUCCUUCCUGUGGAGUUGCCCUGUGACUGCUUUGGGUGGUCCUGACUGUUCCCAUGGCAACACAGCCUCUGUGAUCUGCUCAGGAAACCAGACCCAGGUGCUGCCCCAGUGCAACGACUCCGUGUCUGAACCAGCAGGCUCUGCGGCCUCAGAGGAGAGCGCCCCCUACUGCUUAGACAGCAGGCGGCUCCGCCUGGUGGAUGGAGGAGGUCUCUGUGCCGGGAGAGUGGAGAUCCUUGACCAGGGCUCCUGGGGCACCAUCUGUGAUGACGGCUGGGACCUGGACGAUGCCCGCGUGGUGUGCAGGCAGUUGGGCUGUGGACAAGCCCUCAGUGCCACGAGGUCAGCUCACUUUGGGGCGGGAUCAGGGCCCAUCUGGCUGGACGACCUGAACUGCACAGGAAAUGAGUCCCACGUGUGGAGAUGCCCUUCCCGGGGCUGGGGGCGGCACGACUGCAGACACAAGGAGGACGCGGGGGUCAUCUGCUCAGAGUUCCUGGCCCUCAGGAUGGUGAGUGAGAACCAGGAGUGUGCUGGGUGGCUGGAAGUUUUCUACAACGGGACCUGGGGUAGUGUCUGCAGCAGCUCCAUGGAUGAUGUCACCGUGUCCAUCAUCUGCAGUCAGCUUGGCUGUGGGGACAGCGGAAGUCUCAACACCUCUGUUGGUCUCAGGGAAGGUUCUAGACCCCAUUGGGUAGAUGGAAUCCAGUGCCAGAGAACUGACCACUCUCUGUGGCAGUGUCCUUCUGACCCUUGGAAUUACAACUCAUGCUCUCCCAAGGAGGAAGCCUAUAUCUCGUGUGCAGGGAGAAGACCCAAGAGCUGUCCAGCUGCUGCCCCCUGCACAGACAGAGAGAAGCUCCGGCUCAGGGGAGGAGACAGCGAGUGCUCAGGGCGGGUGGAGGUGUGGCACAGCGGCUCCUGGGGCACUGUGUGCGAUGACUCCUGGAGCCUGGCAGAGGCCGAGGUGGUGUGUCAGCAGCUGGGCUGUGGCCAGGCCUUGGAAGCUGUGCGGACUGCGGCAUUCGGCCCUGGAAACGGGAGCAUCUGGCUGGACGAGGUGCGGUGCCGGGGCCGGGAGUCCUCCUUGUGGGACUGUGCUGCAGAGCCCUGGGGGCAGAGCGACUGCAAGCACGAGGAGGAUGCUGGUGUGAGGUGCUCUGGUGCAAGGACAUCUUUGCCCCCAACUACAACAGGGACCAGACCAGCUUUGAAUCCUCUGCCUGGCAUCUUCUCCCUGCCUUGGGUCCUCUGCCUCAUCCUGGGAGCCCUACUCUUCCUGGUCCUCAUCAUCCUGGUGACUCAGUUGCUCAGAUGGAGAGCAGAGCGCAGAGCCUUUUCCAGCUAUGAAGAUGCUCUUGCUGAAGCUGAGUAUGAAGAGCUCGAUUACCUUGUGACACAGAAGGAGGGUCUUCUGGACGUUGCAGGCUUCCUGUCAGAUGGUGAGGACGACGAGGACUCCAGAUCCACUCCAGAACAUCAGAGGACUGAUGCCCCUGGUGAGGGUUAUGAUGAUGCUGAAGAGGUACCAGUGCCUGGGGCUCCUCCUGCCUCUCAGGUGAGAGAAGAGGAAGUGCCCCCAGAGAAGGAAGAUGGGAUGAGGUCUCAGACAGGCUCUUCUCUAUUCGUCUUUGGAGAGGAAGCUGAUCCUGGGGAAGGAGAAGAGAGCCCAUGGCUGCUCCAGGGGGACAAAGGUGACCCUGGGUAUGAUGACAUUGAUGUGCCCCAGGAACAGUGACUUUCCCAUGAUGUUGUAUUAAAUAUGAGAUGAAGCCUCAGAUAUUCUAAUUGCCUGUAUUUCAAUACAGUAAUGCUGACCUGUAAUUGUGUUAUAUGGACAUUGUUCAAAAUGAAACAUUCUGAAUAAAGUAACUUUUUGCUGUGUUGCUAAUUUAGCA